UACAGAGGGUGCAAACGUUGUUCGGAAUUACUGGGCGUAAAGCGCGUGUAGGCGGUGCUCUAAGUUCGGUGUGAAAUCUCCUGGCUUAACUGGGAGGGUGCGCCGGAAACUGGGGUGCUCGAGCGUGGGAGAGGAAAGCGGAAUUCCUGGUGUAGCGGUGAAAUGCGUAGAUAUCAGGAGGAACACCUGUGGUGUAGACAGCUUUCUGGACCAUUGCUGACGCUGAGACACGAAGGCGUGGGUAGCAAACAGG
rnacentral:rRNA from 1 species